GGUAGUGUGGGCUAGUGGUUAGAGCACUGGACUGGUACUUUGGAGAUCUGUGUUCAAUUCCCAGCUCUGCUG
rnacentral:tRNA from 1 species